UUGCUCCAUGCAUCUUCCAUGGCCAAGGCCUCUUCUCCUCCAACACCUGGGGGCUAGUGCCCUACUCCAAGCCCAUCACCACUGUUGUGGGAGAGCCCAUCACCAUCCCCAAACCGGAGCACCCGACCCAGCAGGACAUCGGCCUGUAAGACCCAUGUACAUGAAGGA